ACCGCCCUCAACGCUACCCUUCUAUGCCACAAACGGAGAGAUCUGCGCAAGCAGCUUCUCUCGAGCCUCCGCCUCUUUCCCUCGGGGGAGUCGCUGGCACCAUGUCGCAUGUGAGAAAUUCGGAGAAACUCCCGACGGGGCCCAGGCUUGCACUGGCCCCGCCCGCCCGACCGCCUGCGCUUCUUGCGCGGGCGACGACGGCCUGCCGGUGACGGCACGAGGCGAAUCUGCCUCCGCAGUUGGCAUCAGAAAAGCAGGGCGCUGGCCGUCCCCUCGUUCAUACCCGCAAGGGGAAGACAGGGGGUUCCGGACCAGCGUUCCUCUGGGAGAGUCACUGCCGGGAUUGCUUGGACACAAGCUGAAGUACGAUGGGUGGCGUGUCGCCUGCUUCUCCUCGGUGAAAUGCAGGCCUCAUCAUUCAAUUCCGAUCACUCUUUGGGCGGU
rnacentral:RNase_P_RNA from 1 species